rnacentral:lncRNA from 1 species
CUCAAUCAAGGAAAUAGUCAACAUUAGUAAAAAGGAGUCAAAUACGAUUGCAUACGUGGGUAAGAGGAACGUCUCGUCGCGUGGCUUCCACGAGCACCAUGCAAGGGAUGCGUGGAGCCACGGCCACCUCAGCUGCCACCUCGACCUGGCACGUCCACGUAAGAUUACAUGCCCCGCGAGUGAAUCUCAGUGCUUAUUCUAUCCCUCUCUCGCUUUCUUGCUCACUCUCUUCUCUCUUGAGAAGAAGUCCUCUCUACAAUGGCACUGCGAGAUUCUUUGUUUGCAAAGUUUGUCUUCGUGCAUGGGGAUGACGACGAUGACAAUCCCCCGGAUCUCGCGCCCGCCGCCUCAGAAGUUCAUGCAUUGUCUCCUUGUAUCCUGGGGGAAGACCAAAUGGUUCCAAGGAUCAUCUAUGAGGCUCACUGCGGAAAUCGCGAUCGCCAAGUAAGUUCUAUUCCCUUUUCCUCUUUUGAUGUUUCCAAUUUGAUUCAUGUGUUCACUGUGUUCCUUGAUCAAUGCAGCGAGAUCAAACUCCUCCAACAGUUCGCAUUGGGAUCUGAGAACGCUGGAUCCUUUCACCGCUCCAAUUCAAAUCCCUCUUGCGUGUAUCUCAUCCUUCUCCUUCUUUGCGGAUCGGAGAAGCCAGAAAAAGCUAGUUGUCAAGGAUCUAUGACGAACU